rnacentral:misc_RNA from 1 species
GAUGAAGAACGCAGCGAAAUGCGAUAAGUAAUGUGAAUUGCAGAAUUCAGUGAAUCAUCGAAUCUUUGAACGCACAUUGCGCCCGCCAGUAUUCUGGCGGGCAUGCCUGUUCGAGCGUCAUUUCAACCAUCAAGCCCCAGGCUUGUGUUGGGGACCUGCGGCUGCCGCAGGCCCUGAAAACCAGUGGCGGGCUCGCUGUCACGCCGGGCGUAGUAGAUUUUAUCUCGCUCAGGGCGUGCUGCGGGUUCCGGCCGUUAAAAAGCCUUUUUUACCCAAGGUUGACCUCGGAUCAGGUAGGAAGACCCGCUGAACUUAAGCAUAUCAAUAAGCGGAGGA